rnacentral:misc_RNA from 1 species
CUAGUUUAAUGCUCUGAUGUUGAUGAAUUCCAACCAGCAAUUAAAUUUGAGUCCCUGAGGCGAUGACUGUGAGAGUAUAUUUAAUAUGUACAUACGUACUAGACAUUUAGGGGAAAUAAAAAAUCACAAAAACUCAUACGUAUAUUUCUCUUGAAUUAAUCUCAAACCUUAGCCACGGAGGCCAAAUUAAAUCUCAUUCAUACAUUUCUAAAAAGGCUUGGCAUCCCGAAAAUCCGCCCAAAAUUUGUCAUUACACCAACUUUAUCUAUCUUCAUGAAAGAUGGAAGACAAAGCAAGGUAUAGGCACCGUUGUUUCCAUUCCAUAUUUUGCUUUAUCCACUCCUCUUUGAAUUUUCCUGCUCCUCGUGCUAAUGCUCUGCAGUUUGGAGUAAAUAUAGCAAAAAAUGUACUGGACAAAGCUGAGCAGAAGGAUUAAUAUUCCCCUAACUGCCUGCCAUAUUUACCAUUUACAACCCUGAGAACCAGCGAAACAUUUCGCUAAUCUCCUCCCCCACCCGAUUCUCUUCCACGUCGUAAUCUCCGAUGCUGGCAAUCUCGCUCCGGCGACUACUUCCAGUGAAGAACCUUCCAGAACUUCGAAACGAUAAAGCACGCGAUGAGAGAGAAUUCGAGAGCCUGUCAACGUAAUCCUUAAGCCAACUCCUUCCGCUGCCCACUUCGAAGGCUAGGUUCGGCUCUUGCGUCGACUGAUACACUGCAGCUCCUACUUCCUUGUCUGAAACGCUUCUUCUGUGCGUGUGGCUCAUAGUAACCUCGGAUUCUUCCUGCACAAUGUACUCGAAGGAGCCAACGGAAUAAGAACUUCGAGGCUCGACCGCGGGAUCGGAAGCUGUUUCACGGCGGCUGAUGGAGCCAAUCUCAAGGCGGAAGCUUUCUGCUGUGGCGCCAUCCAUGGAGCUAGAUAGCGCCUUCAAGAGGUCGGACUCGGAGGCAUGAAUUGAAGAUCGACAAAGAGGACACGUUUGAUUAGACUGAAGCCACGUGUCGAUGCAAUGGACAUGAAAAGCAUGGCAACAGAGCGGAAGGAGACGGAGUUGAUCCUGCGGUUCGAACUUGGACAAGCAGACGGCACAAUCACCGGCAGAGUUUGUGGAACGGCGUUUAAUGGAACUGAAGGUGAAGAGCGGGAGAGAAUUGAUGAGCGAGAAUGCAGGACUCUCAGGCGAAACACGAUUGGUGGAGUGACGAUUGGAAGAGGAGGAGGAUGUGGCGAUGUUGAUGGUGGGAGCGGAGGCAUGAGAGGAAGGAGAAAGGUGGCGGAGACAGCGGCGGUUGAGGUGGCGGAGAAGAAGACAGAGGGAGAUGGAGAGAAGGAAAGUAAUGGAGAGGAUCAAAAGAAUAACAAGGAUGCUAGGUUUAAGAUUUUGAAAAGGAGAAGUAUCAUGAUCAUGAGUAUCUUCUUCAGUGUUAUUGUUGAAGGGAAGAAGAGGAGGCAACGGCG